UCUCCGUAGGUGAACCUGCGGAGGGAUCAUUACAGAGUUUUUGCCCGCAAGGGUAGAUCUCCCACCCUAUGUUAUUCCUUCUCUGUUGCUUUGGCGGGCCGUCCGGCCUCGGUCAGGCCACCGGCUCCGGCUGGUGCGCGCCCGCCAGAGGACCCCAAACCCUAAAUGCCAGUGUCGUCUGAGUACUAUAUAAUAGUUAAAACUUUCAACAACGGAUCUCUUGGUUCUG
rnacentral:misc_RNA from 1 species